rnacentral:rRNA from 1 species
GACGAACGCUGGCGGCGUGCUUAACACAUGCAAGUCGUACGGUAAGGCCCUUUCGGGGGUUCACGAGUGGCGCACGGGGGAGUAACACGUGAGUAACCUGCCCACAACUUUGGGAUAACGCUAGGAAACUGGUGCUAAUACUGGAUAUGUGCCCCUGCUGCAUGGUGGGGGUUGGAAAGCUCCGGCGGUUGUGGAUGGACUCGCGGCCUAUCAGCUUGUUGGUGGGGUAGUGGCCUACCAAGGCGGCGACGGGUAGCCGGCCUGAGAGGGUGACCGGCCACAUUGGGACUGAGAGACGGCCCAGACUCCUACGGGAGGCAGCAGUGGGGAAUAUUGCACAAUGGGCGCAAGCCUGAUGCAGCAACGCCGCGGGCGGGAUGACGGUCUUCGGGUUGUAAACCGCUUUCAGCAGGGACGAAGCUUUUUGUGACGGUACCUGCAGAAGAAGCACCGGCUAACUACGUG